UUAAGUAUAUGCUGUAUGAUUUAUUAAAAUGUGUUAAGAUAUUAGAGGAUUUAAAAAAUGAUUCCUUUAGGCCUUUUUAGUCAUAACUGAAAAACAAAACAAAACAACCAAUCUGUAUGUCUACUGAAACCUGGGAGGAUUCAGGGGCCUCCAGAGAGGAGUUCUCACACUUAGAGGUGAUUCACUCCAGUUUACAGAGGGGUAAACAUUCUCAGGGUACUAUAGUAACUACUGUGAGGUUGUGUGAUCAGCAUGGCAGAGCCAGGAGUUAAAGCCAUACCUGCCUAAUGCCAGAAGGUUUUGAUCAUUCCUCAAGAGUGGGGAUAAUAUUCUAAUGUCCUGUAGCUAUUUCUUGCAACAUUAAGGCUUGAGGAUGUGAUCCAGCUAAUAACCCUGAGGAGAUGGCUGAGGCAAUGGCUCAGUUGUUACAGUAUUUGCUAGGUAAGCUGGAAGACCUGAGAGUGACCAUGCUACAGUUGUAAUGAGAAGAAAUAGAGACCCGCUAAGUGGCUCAGUGGGCAAAGGUGAUUGCUUCUAAGCCUCAUGACUUAAUUUUGAUUCCCGGGACCCACAUCAUGAAAGAAGAAAAAGAACUGAAAGUUGUCCUCUGUCAUCCUCCUGUGUGCCCUGCAUGCACACACUUAAAUAAAUGAAAGGCAACAUCACAUUUAAAUGAAUAGCAGAAAGGAUUUAUCUUAUAGGGGAGGCCAACACCCUAUGCCAGUUACAAUAAAAUUGGUGAAAUCAA